GGGGUCGUUGCCCAGGGUUGAGGUAACGCGCGCCGUCCUCCCGCACCGCCAACCCUCGCUGUGUCCCUCUCGGCCGCCCCCUCUUAGGUACCUUCUCUCUGUGAGCGCACCUGGCUGGUGGCCGUGCCGGGCUAACCCUGCGGCUCGGCCCGGCCCGGCCCGGCCCGGCGCUAGGCGGGAUUUCAGAGGUGAGGCCGGGGCGGCUGCCACGAAGCUUUCCUCCAGGUGCUGCCGCCGCACGAGUUGGAAAUUCGAGGCAAAACUCGGGGUACGGUUCAAACCUCGGCCGUGUAAACACACCUAAGCAAGUUGUAUGAAGUGGUCUGCUGCAUGCAGUAUUUGCCUGCAUUUGAAGAAAGACUUUUGACUCCUAAAAAGGACCCGAGUGAGUGCGUAGGGAUCACCGCAGCCCUGCAGUGGAUGAAUGAUUGUGAGCGGGUUCUUGAAAAUGCCGUAGUAACAAUCUGAGGGGGACACCACUGGUUUCCCAAAGUUAUUAAACAUACCAAAUUGAAGAUGUGAUGGUGAAGUACUUGUUUUGAUAAGCAAUCAUUUUUUGCAAAGUUAACAUAAUAUAGAUGCCUUUAUGUAAGACAUUUCAUCAAUUACCAAACGUAUAUAAUUUAAUAUUUUCCUUUCCAUAUCAUAAUAAAAUACUGGUAAAAUAACAAAACCCCCCAAACUUAUUUUAUUGGUACUAGUCUUUACUGGUACUAGAUACUAAAGUAUCUAAUAUCCUUUACUUAAGUAAAAAACAAUAUAAUGUCAUUUAAUUGUAAAAGUAAGAUGAGGACUACACAGAUACACAACUUACAUUGUGUAAGAAAAAAACCUCCAGGUAUUUGAAGUACAGGAGGCCUUAGGUCAAGAUUAAAUCACAGGUAACACAUAACCAUAUUUCUGUGUAACUGUGAUGGGUGAAGUUUAUGGUUUUACCCUACAGAAAGCAUGUGUGCCAAACAUCGCAGAUCUUCCAAAGAUAGCAAUGCACACACAUUUAAUGACAUAGAAUAUGUGCAUAUUAAGUAUUACAUACAGUGCUUCUCCUACUAGAGAAAAUAAAAAAUACAACCAGGAAAUUCAAGAGGGAAAAGGGUGUGUGUGUGUCUGUAAAUAACUGCAUACUUAUCUCUAAGAUAUUUUGAGCUGAAAUUGCAGCCAUCUUAAUAAUGACAACAACAAUAAUAAAAAAA